rnacentral:misc_RNA from 1 species
UUAAGUUCAGCGGGUAUUCCUACCUGAUCCGAGGUCAACCUUUGGUUAAAGAUGGGGUCUUUAACGGCAGGAGCACCGCCGCAACGUCCGUAGCGAGAAAACUAAUUACUACGCUCGGAGUUGUAGCGAGCCCGCCACUUCCUUUCGGGGCCUACGGCAGCCGUAGGGCCCCAACACCAAGCAGUGCUUGAGGGUUGAAA